UCCCUGAUAGCUUAGUUGGUAAAGAAUCUGCCUGUAAAGCAGGAGACCCCAGUUUGAUUCCAGGGUAGGGAA
rnacentral:tRNA from 1 species